ACUCAAAUGAAUAGACGGGGGCUCACACAAGCGGUGGAGCAUGUGGCUUAAUUCGAGGCUACGCGAAGAACCUUAUCCUAGGCUUGACAUGUGCGAAAGCGCUGGGGAGUAGCGAGCGGAAACGUUUCGCCAACGGUAUCCAGUCCGGAACCCAGUACAGGUGCUGCAUGGCUGUCGUCAGCUCGUGUCGUGAGAUGUCGGGUUAAGUCCCAUAACGAGCGAAACCCUUGUCCGCAGUUGCCAGCAGUUCGGCUGGGGACUCUGCGGAGACUGCCGGCGUCAAGCCGGAGGAAGGUGGGGAUGACGUCAAGUCCUCAUGGCCUUUAUGCCUAGGGCUGCACACGUGCUACAAUGGCGUGAACAAAGGGAAGCCAACGCGCGAGCGGGAGCCAAUCCCAAAAAACACGCCCCAGUUCAGAUCGGAGGCUGCAACUCGCCUCCGUGAAGUUGGAAUCGCUAGUAAUCGCGGGUCAGCAACACCGCGGUGAAUGUGUUCCUGAGCCUUGCACACACCGCCCGU
rnacentral:rRNA from 1 species